rnacentral:rRNA from 1 species
GACGAACGCUGGCGGCGUGCUUAACACAUGCAAGUCGAACGGAAAGGCCCUGCUUGCAGGGUACUCGAGUGGCGAACGGGUGAGUAACACGUGGGUGAUCUGCCCUGCACUUCGGGAUAGGCCUGGGAAACUGGGUCUAAUACCGGAUAGGAGCCAUUUUUAGUGUGAUGGUUGGAAAGUUUUUUCGGUGUAGGAUGAGCUCGCGGCCUAUCAGCUUGUUGGUGGGGUAAUGGCCUACCAAGGCGGCGACGGGUAGCCGGCCUGAGAGGGUGGACGGCCACAUUGGGACUGAGAUACGGCCCAGACUCCUUCGGGAGGCAGCAGUGGGGAAUAUUGCACAAUGGGCGCAAGCCUGAUGCAGCGACGCCGCGUGGGGGAUGACGGCCUUCGGGUUGUAAACUCCUUUCGCUAGGGACGAAGCUUUUUGUGACGGUACCUAGAGAAGAAGCACCGGCUAACUACGUG